CCUACGGGAGGCAGCAGUGGGGAAUAUUGGACAAUGGGGGAAACCCUGAUCCAGCCAUGCCGCGUGAGUGAUGAAGGCCUUAGGGUUGUAAAGCUCUUUCGACGGGGACGAUGAUGACGGUACCCGUAGAAGAAGCCCCGGCUAACUUCGUGCCAGCAGCCGCGGUAAUACGAAGGGGGCUAGCGUUGUCCGGAAUUACUGGGCGUAAAGCGCGCGUAGGCGGUUACGCAAGUCGGGCGUGAAAGCCCGGGGCUCAACCCCGGAACUGCGUCCGAGACUGCGUGACUUGAGACCGGAAGAGGAGAGCGGAAUUCCCAGUGUAGAGGUGAAAUUCGUAGAUAUUGGGAAGAACACCAGUGGCGAAGGCGGCUCUCUGGUCCGGUUCUGACGCUGAGGCGCGAAAGCGUGGGGAGCAAACAGGAUUAGAUACCCUGGUAGUCCACGCCGUAAACGAUGAGUGCCAGACGUCGGGGGGCUCGGCCCUUCGGUGUCGACGCUAACGCAUUAAGCACNCGCUGGAGUCGCGCAGUAACUACAAGAUAGACGCGNGAGACNGCACGCGACACGAGGAGAG
rnacentral:rRNA from 1 species